AUGGCCAUAUCACAUUGAAACACUGGUCCUCGUAUGAUCACCAAAGUUAAGCAACAUUGAGCUUUGUUAGUAAUUAGAUGGGUGACUGCUUGAGAAUACUAGAAGCUGUAAG